UCUCUUUUACAAAGCGGAGACAUGUAGGAACAUCCUCACACCUCGUUCCUGCCUCUGGAUGACAUCAUCUGCAGGGAUGUCAGAUGGUGUCCGCGGUUCUAAGCUUCAAACCCUCAGAGCCCUACAUCUGGAGGUGUGGAGGAUCACUACUGCCCUGUCAACUUCCAUUUGUCUAAAAUCAGAGCCACUGUGGAAGGAAGUACUCAUGUUAACAGCUUCGAGAUGCUCUGCAUGUGAGGACCGGCGGGGAAGCAGGACCUCGGAAACAGGAUUUUAAAUGGAGCAGCAAGCCCCGGCCGCUCAGGGCCCAAACUGCACUGCGCUGCUAG